UUAGAGAGUUUGAUCCUGGCUCAGGAUGAACGCUGGCGGCGUGCAUAACACAUUCAAGUCGGACGGUGUGCCCCUUUCGGGGGGCGCAUAGUGGCGGACGGGUGAGUAACACGUGAGCAAUCUGCCUCGGGGAAGGGAAUAACACAUGGAAACGUGUGCUAAUACCCUAUGACACAGAUUUUGGGCAUCCAAAAUCUGUCAAAGGAGCAAUCCGCCCUGAGAUGAGCUCGCGUCCGAUUAGGCAGUUGGCGGGGUAACGGCCCACCAAACCGACGAUCGGUAGCCGGACUGAGAGGUCGAACGGCCACAUUGGAACUGAGAAACGGUCCAGACUCCUACGGGAGGCAGCAGUGAGGAAUAUUGGGCAAUGGACGAAAGUCUGACCCAGCGACGCCGCGUGAAGGAAGAAGGUCUUCGGAUUGUAAACUUAUGUCGGAGGGGACGAAAAAAAUGACGGUACCCUCGGAGGAAGCCACGGCUAACUACGUGCCAGCAGCCGCGGUAAUACGUAGGUGGCAAGCGUUGUCCGGAAUUACUGGGUGUAAAGGGUGUGUAGGCGGCUUUGAAAGUCUCACGUGAAAGCUAUGUGCUCAACGCAUAGUUGCGUGGGAAACUACAGGGCUUGAGUGUCGGAGAGGUAGGCGGAAUUCCCAGUGUAGCGGUAAAAUGCGUAGAUAUUGGGAGGAACACCAGUGGCGAAGGCGGCCUGCUGGACGACAACUGACGCUGAGACACGAAAGCGUGGGGAGCAAACAGGAUUAGAUACCCUGGUAGUCCACGCUGUAAACGAUGAAUGCUAGGUGUAGGCCGGAAUAGGUCUGUGCCGCAGUUAACACAAUAAGCAUUCCACCUGGGGAGUACGGCCGCAAGGUUGAAACUCAAAGGAAUUGACGGGAGCCCGCACAAGCAGUGGAGUAUGUUGUUUAAUUCGACGCAACGCGAAGAACCUUACCAGGUCUUGACAUCCACGGAAUCCUGCGUAAUGGCGGGAGUGCCCUUCGGGGAACCGUGAGACAGGUAGUGCAUGGUUGUCGUCAGCUCGUGUCGUGAGAUGUUGGGUUAAGUCCCGCAACGAGCGCAACCCUUGCGGACAGUUGCCACCGGAAACGGGGAACUCUGUUCGGACUGCCGUUGACAAAACGGAGGAAGGUGGGGAUGACGUCAAAUCAUCAUGCUCUUUAUGAUCUGGGCCACAAACGUACUACAAUGGCGCGAACAAAGGGGAGCAAAGGAGCGAUCCGGAGCAAAUCCCAAAAACGCGUCCCAGUUCGGACUGCAGGCUGCAACUCGCCUGCACGAAGUUGGAAUUGCUAGUAAUCGCGGGUCAGCAUACCGCGGUGAAUACGUUCUCGGGCUUUGUACACACCGCCCGUCAGACCAUGAGAGUCGGAAACACCCGAAGCCUGUGAGCUAACCGCAAGGAGGCAGCAGUCGAAGGUGGGUUCGAUGAUUGGGGUUAAGUCGUAACAAGGUAGCCGUAUCGGAAGGUGCGGCUGGAUCACCUCCUUU
rnacentral:rRNA from 1 species